AUAAUGACUCUCGGCCAAGGAUAUCUCGGCUCUCGCAUCGAUGAAGAACGUAGCGAAAUGCGAUACUUGGUGUGAAUUGCAGAAUCCCGUGAACCAUCGAGUCUUUGAACGCAAGUUGCGCCCGAAGCCUUCUGGCCGAGGGCACGUCUGCCUGGGCGUCACGCA
rnacentral:rRNA from 1 species